AAGUUGUUGCAGUUAAAAAGCUCGUAGUUGGAUCUUGGGUCGGGGGGAGCGGUCCGCCCCUUGUGGGUGUGCACUGGUCCACUCGGCCUUCUUGCCGGGGACGCGCUCCUGGUUUUAAUUAAUCGGGACGCGGAGUCGGCGAUGUUACUUUGAAAAAAUUAGAGUGCUCAAAGCAAGCCUAUGCUCUGAAUACAUUAGCAUGGAAUAACGUGAUAGGACUCUGGUCCUGUUCGUGUUGGUCUUCGGGACCGGAGUAAUGAUUAAUAGGGACGGUUGGGGGCAUUCGUAUUUCAUUGUCAGAGGUGAAAUUCUUGGAUUUAUGAAAGACGAACUUCUGCGAAAGCAUUUGCCAAGGAUGUUUUCAUUAAUCAAGAACGAAAGUUGGGGGCUCAAAGACGAUCAGAUACCGUCCUAGUCUCAACCAUAAACGAUGCCGACUAGGGAUUGGCGGAUGUUACUUUGAUGACUCCGCCAGCACCUUAUGAGANAUCAAAGUUUUUGGGUUCCG
rnacentral:ncRNA from 1 species